rnacentral:misc_RNA from 1 species
AAAAUAUAAUAACUUCAGUUUAUAAGAUUCAGCGCUGCAGAGAAAAUGGAAUCCGGUUUGUCACGUGACAACAAUAAUUGUUUAAGAGAUGAAGUUCAAUUACUUACAGAGGAAAUAGAAAGUUGUUCCGGUUUAAAUCUCUUUGCAAGAUGUUGGAAGCCUAAGGCUGAACAUGAGCUAAAAGGAUUGGUAUUCAUAAGUCAUGGAUUCGGUGAGCAUCUAGGAUGGUAUGAUGAACUGGCCAGAGAAAUGGUUCGUCAUCGGUUUCUUGUAUUCGGUCAUGAUCAUUUGGGGCAUGGAAAAAGCGGUGGAAAACGUGCUUACAUCGAAAGAGCAGAAGAUUAUGUGAAUGAUAUUUUAAUGCACGCAGCAAAAGUGAAAAAUCAGUAUACAGGACUAUCUAUGUUUCUUUAUGGGCAUUCUAUGGGAGGAAUGCUGGCUGUCUCAACUGCACUUAGAAACCAGACGUUUUUCAAAGGCCUCAUUCUAGAAGGUCCUUUAAUAACUCCAGACCCUGCUCAAGCUACUCCUUUAAGAAUAUUUCUUGCAAACCUUCUUGUUUAUUUUCUUCCAGAGAUGCAGCUUGGACAUAUUAGUGUAGAACAAGUUACUUCUGACCAAGAAGUUCAAGCAAGAAUAUUAGGAGACAAAUACAGAUGGACUGGAGGAUUCAAGCUAAUCACAAGUUUAGCUAUUCUCAGAUGUUUGGGUGAGAUUCGAUGCAAGCUGAAUACAAUCUCUCUUCCUAUUCUGAUUCUCCAUGGUGGGAAUGAUUCUUUAUGUCAGCCAAGUGGGUCUCACACACUGUACCAGGAAUGUACAUCAAUGGAUAAGGCUUUAAAAAUAUAUCCAAGAGCGAGUCACCAUUUGAUAUUAGAGGAACUUCCAACUAGACAGGCAGUGUUUCAUGAGAUUUUAUCUUGGCUGAACAAGAGAACAGACUCUUUAGAAAUUUAACCGGAUUAAACCUUCUUUUACGGGAAUAAUCGAAACUGAAACUUUUAGAGACAGGAAGUUUUAUUUUCAAUAGACGCUCCUUGCUAGGAUGGAAAUGCCUGAUUCACAACGGGUGACCUAACAGUACGCUCUUUCUGUCUCUUUAAAGCUAAAAUCAAAUCUACAAAUUUUUAUGUUAUUUCUGAUAUCUGGCAUGCCCAUUGCAAGUAAAGGAAUAUUUUAUUACUUAUUUUUAUAUGUAUAUGUAUCUUCAUAUCAGUUUUAAACAAAUAAAAAUGAUAAAUUUAAAGAAACUGAAAUGUGAAGAAACUGAAAUGAUGAAAUUAAAGUUCAGGGUUACCGACUAAGGAAGAGACUUGAAUGAUGACCUAAAUCUAACGAUCUAAGGGUUGAACCUGGAGAAUGAUGCCUUUAUAAAAAAAUUAUGUGUACAUCGUCUCUAGGGAACUAUAGGAAUUCAAGUGAACAGGCUUAAAUCAAGUCUGUACAGUCGUCUCUGAAGUCGUAUCCUUUGAGGGUAACCCUGUAUAAACAAGAUUAAAUGUUUGGUAGUUGAAC